rnacentral:snoRNA from 1 species
AAGACUAUACUUUACAGGAUCUUUUCUGUAGUAGCAUAGUUCUUCCUACUUUCCAAUUUUGGAGAGACCAACCCCACGAUGAUGAGGUUCAUUCACUUACUGGAGCGUGAGGCAGAUGUAUCGGCGACCACGUCGUCCACAUAUCAUCGAUGAUCGCACGCCCUUCGGGGUCGGGUAAGUGAAUAAUCUGAGUGGU